UACGUAGGGUGCAAGCGUUAAUCGGAAUUACUGGGCGUAAAGCGUGCGCAGGCGGUUUUGUAAGUCUGUCGUGAAAUCCCCGGGCUCAACCUGGGAAUUGCGAUGGAGACUGCAAGGCUAGAAUCUGGCAGAGGGGGGUAGAAUUCCACGUGUAGCAGUGAAAUGCGUAGAGAUGUGGAGGAACACCGAUGGCGAAGGCAGCCCCCUGGGUCAAGAUUGACGCUCAUGCACGAAAGCGUGGGGAGCAACAGG
rnacentral:rRNA from 1 species